UACGUAGGGGGCAAGCGUUGUCCGGAUUUAUUGGGCGUAAAGAGCGUGUAGGCGGCUUCACAGGUCUGCUGUGAAAACUCGAGGCUCAACCUCGAGCUGUCGGUGGAAACCGUGGGGCUAGAGUCCGGAAGAGGAGAGUGGAAUUCCCGGUGUAGCGGUGAAAUGCGCAGAUAUCGGGAAGAACACCCGUGGCGAAGGCGGCUCUCUGGGACGGUACUGACGCUGAGACGCGAAAGCGUGGGUAGCAAACAGG
rnacentral:rRNA from 1 species